rnacentral:lncRNA from 1 species
UUGGGAUUUGCUUUGAGGAUGUAUAUUUUAUGGGAAAAGGCAUGAUCAGCCUGGCUGCAGUACGGAAUGAUCUGGGAAAUUCUGGAGGACUCUGGCUAACUCCUGACAAGCCAACCCUGGAAGCAGGGUAUAGGAUACUGUUUUUCACAAAUUGGAAGUCUGUGGCAACCCUGCAUCGAUCAAGUGUAUUGGCACCAAUUUUCCCACAGCGUUAUUUUUAA